AUUCCUUUCCCUGCUCCCCCGUCUCUUUCCUUAGGUGUUUUUUAGCAUUAUUAUUUGUUUUGGGAGGGGAAAAUCAUCUUCGCUUCAGUCUCUUGCUAGAGGUCCAGACUGCUUACGUCUGAGCGCCCCUUAUCAUUUCAGUGAAUGGCAAUUGCAGCCUUGGUGCUGUUAUAGCAAUGAAGCUACAGACGUCAUUGCCUCCUGUUGGACGUGAGAUGUGUCCAAGCAUCAGCCCCUUUUGCUUAAGAAAAACUCUUUAACUUCCACGCAGCCGACAGGCAGGCUUUUCUAAGAUCCUGUGGACCCAACAUUGUACCGAUAGAGUUAUAUCUUUUUAUUUAUAUACACAUGCACACAUACACAGGUGUGCACGUGUAUGUGUGUUUGUACGUAUGUAUAUAGAGAGACAGAAAUAGAUAAAUUAAAGCCGCAGCUAUAUGGCAAGCUCCUCUAAAAUUUCCUGCUCGUCAGAGUAGCUCUCUGCAUCGUUUUGUUAAAUACAGCCCGGCGGGAAAGCCAUCAGCAAUCCAUUUCGGGUAACAAGGAAGACUUGUUGAACACCUUGUUCUCCAGACCCCGGGAAGAUGCUGGGCUGCUGGAGCGUGGAAGAGCCAGGAUUGUGCCCUGAACUUCACCCACUUGGCAGCCGCUAUUCCUAAACCAUUUCCCCUCUCCUCCCCUGCCUCUUUUGCCUCCCGGACUGAGAAUCUGCUCUUUAAAGUUGAUCUGAAGGGGAAAGCAGAGACGAGCUUGUGCAUAGUUUGGAGGGGUAAAAGUUCAGGGCCAGUACAGAGUCUAUAUAGAAAAAUAGAGCCUUCGCAUCAGAUUUACCGUAUGGGCUGCCUAAAGUAACUAUUUUGAAGUCAUCUUUGGAAAGCUAGAGCCUGAUAUGCUCAUCCUGGUUUCUGUCACCUUCUCCAAAGGAAGGGAAGGACAAACAGGGAAGUUUUGCCCACUUGCUCCCUGCCAGGUGCGCUGAUGGAGUCUGCUGAUGGUGUGAGCUAGCCUCGUCUCUCAGACGACUACAUGGUAUCCUGAAAAUGGAUCCCUAGAUGAGAACACUUGACAGGACUGUAAACGUGACUGUAGAGUGAAGGCAUCCAAGAAAGUUUUCGAGCGACAGAUAUAGGUUGCUGUGGUCUCUUAACCAAGAAAAGAAGUAAAGCUGGGUUUCUAUGUUUCACUGUUCUGAGUUGAAUGCCUAAGUUACUUUCUCAAUACAUAAGUGCAUUUAAAAAGUUCCAGGGUUCUUCAGAAGCUUUGUAAUUUCAAACUGUUGUAUAUAAACACAAAGGCAUUUAUCAAGUGUAUCUAUGAAAGGUAAAAACCCUAUUGAAGCAAAACCAAAGAAACUACAAGCCAGAAUUAGUAAAUUAUAUGAAUGUUGACCUCUGUACGUGUUAUAUCCCAC
rnacentral:lncRNA from 1 species